rnacentral:misc_RNA from 1 species
CCCAUUUUAGGAAGUGGAAUGAAAUAUUUUGCUGCUUAAUUGAGUUAGCAAAUAUUUUCUACUUUCAACUUCUUCUUGAUUUUAUUCUUGAAAUCUUAAAUACAAUUUCGUUGCAGGUGCAAAAAUACAUAGUGACUGGAAAAGAUGACAAGCCCCGUACCAUUGAUCCGACCAAACGACAAGGAAUUGCUGCUUCUUUUAAUAGCAAAAAUAAUGAACGGCUACGAUGACCCAAGAAUCCCUGUAAUUAAUAUCAACGAUCAUGAGCCUCGGGUGUUACCUGGGCUUUCAGGAGUAAUAAACUCGAGUGAUCGAGAGUGGUAUUUCUUUCGUCCUCGCCAAGAAAUAAACAGGAGGAAAACGGACGCUGGAUACUGGAAAGUUACCGGCUACGGAUCGAAGAUUAAGGAGGGACGGGAAGAGAUAGGUACAAAAACAAUAUUGGUUUACCAUGAGGGUCCUUACUCGGAGUAAGGACCAGGUGGAUCAUGCACGAAUAUGAUGCCACUUGUUUUGCAGACCAACUGCGCAC